GCGCACGGGUGAGUAACGCGUACACGACCUACCUCUAACAGGGGGAUAGCCCUGGGAAACUGGGAUUAAUACCGCAUAUAAUUUUGAUUUUAAAAGUUCAAAAUGAAAGUUCAGGCGGUUAGAGAUGGGUGUGCGUCUGAUUAGCUAGUUGGUAAGGUAACGGCUUACCAAGGCGAUGAUCAGUAGGGGGCGUGAGAGCGUGGUCCCCCACACGGGUACUGAGACACGGACCCGACUCCUACGGGAGGCAGCAGUAAGGAAUAUUGGUCAAUGGGCGCAAGCCUGAACCAGCCAUCCAGCGUGCAGGAAGAAGGCCCUACGGGUUGUAAACUGCUUUUGUCAGGGAAGAAACCUUUGGAUUUACUCCGAAGCUGACGGUACCUGAAGAAUAAGCACCGGCUAACUCCGUGCCAGCAGCCGCGGUAAUACGGAGGG
rnacentral:rRNA from 1 species